CAGCAGCCGCGGGAAUACAGAGGGUGCGAGCGUUAAUCGGAUUUACUGGGCGUAAAGCGUGCGUAGGCGGCUUCUUAAGUCGGAUGUGAAAUCCCUGAGCUUAACUUAGGAAUUGCAUUCGAUACUGGGAAGCUAGAGUAUGGGAGAGGAUGGUAGAAUUCCAGGUGUAGCGGUGAAAUGCGUAGAGAUCUGGAGGAAUACCGAUGGCGAAGGCAGCCAUCUGGCCUAAUACUGACGCUGAGGUGCGAAAGCGUGGGGAGCAAACAGGAUUAGAUACCCCUGUAGUCCCUGUCUCUUAUAA
rnacentral:rRNA from 1 species